rnacentral:rRNA from 1 species
AUUGAACGCUGGCGGCAGGCCUAACACAUGCAAGUCGAACGAGAGGAGGACGGGUGAGUAAUUGCUUGGAAAGUGCCUGAUGGAGGGGGAUAACUACUGGAAACGGUAGCUAAUACCGCUUACAAUCAGAUGUGCCCAGCGGGGAUUAUGUCGUGGGGGGGGUAACGGCGCACCUAGGCGACGAUCCCUAGCUGGUCUGAGAGGAUGACCAGCCACACUGGAACUGAGACACGGUCCAGACUCCUACGGGAGGCAGCAGUGGGGAAUAUUGCACAAUGGGCGAAAGCCUGAUGCAGCCAUGCCGCGUGUGUGAAGAAGGCCUUCGGGUUGUAAAGCACUUUCAGCGGGGAGGCGUUACUCGCAGAAGAAGCACCGGCUAACUCCGUGCCAGCAGCCGCGGUAAUUC